GCUUGCUCCUUUGACGUUAGCGGCGGACGGGUGAGUAACACGUGGGUAACCUACCUAUAAGACUGGGAUAACUUCGGGAAACCGGAGCUAAUACCGGAUAAUAUUUCGAACCGCAUGGUUCGAUAGUGAAAGAUGGUUUUGCUAUCACUUAUAGAUGGACCCGCGCCGUAUUAGCUAGUUGGUAAGGUAACGGCUUACCAAGGCGACGAUACGUAGCCGACCUGAGAGGGUGAUCGGCCACACUGGAACUGAGACACGGUCCAGACUCCUACGGGAGGCAGCAGUAGGGAAUCUUCCGCAAUGGGCGAAAGCCUGACGGAGCAACGCCGCGUGAGUGAUGAAGGUCUUCGGAUCGUAAAACUCUGUUAUUAGGGAAGAACAUACGUGUAAGUAACUAUGCACGUCUUGACGGUACCUAAUCAGAAAGCCACGGCUAACUACGUGCCAGCAGCCGCGGUAAUACGUAGGUGGCAAGCGUUAUCCGGAAUUAUUGGGCGUAAAGCGCGCGUAGGCGGUUUUUUAAGUCUGAUGUGAAAGCCCACGGCUCA
rnacentral:rRNA from 1 species